rnacentral:rRNA from 1 species
CUACGGGUGGCAGCAGUGGGGAAUAUUGCACAAUGGAGGAAACUCUGAUGCAGCAACGCCGCGUGGAGGAUGACACUUUUCGGAGCGUAAACUCCUUUUAUAUAGGAAGAAGAUGACGGUACUAUAUGAAUAAGCGCCGGCUAACUCCGUGCCAGCAGCCGCGGUACUACGGAGGGCGCAAGCGUUACUCGGAAUCACUGGGCGUAAAGAGCGCGUAGGCGGAUUAAAAAGUCAGAAGUGAAAUCCUAUAGCUUAACUAUAGAACUGCUUCUGAAACUCUUAAUCUAGAAUAUGGGAGAAGUAGAUGGAAUUUCUGGUGUAGGGGUAAAAACCGUAGAGAUCAGAAGGAAUACCGAUUGCGAAGGCGAUCUACUAGAACAUUAUUGACGCUGAGACGCGAAAGCGUGGGGAGCAAACAGGAUUAGAUACCCCAGUAGUC